GCUGGUAUAGCUCAACUGGUAGAGUAAGUCACUUGUAAUGACUAGGUUGUGGGUUCAAGUCCUACUAUCAGCUCCA
rnacentral:tRNA from 1 species